AUGCAGCCGUCCUCGGCAUACGGGGCCCUGGGCCAGAGCGUGGUCAUCUCCUGCACUGGCAGCGGCCCCAACAUCGGAGCUGAGAGUAACAAGCGGCCCCCAGGCGUCCCUGAUUGGUUCUCGGGCGCUGUGUCUGGCACCUCGGGCUCGCUGGCCAUGGCAGGGCUCCAGCCCUAGGACAAGGCUGAGUACCUCUGCCAGUCACAAAACAGCAAGUGGGGCCAGACACGGGGCUCCGGGCCUGUGGGGAAGCGAGGCAAGAACCCACAGAUGGGCCUCCUGCACGCCUCCCAGCACAGCUGCUCAGGGGGACAGUGCUGGGUGUACAUGCAUGGGCAGCGCCUCCCUCUGCGCCAGCAGGAGGGGAUAGGAGAAUUAUGGGCAGCCCGUUCCAGCCUGCAGGGAAGCAAGGGGCUGUGA